rnacentral:tRNA from 1 species
ACCUGUCUAGCUCAGUUGGUAGAGCGACAGACUCUUAAUCUGUUGGUCGUGUGUUCGAAUCCCACGGCGGGUG